rnacentral:rRNA from 1 species
GACGAACGCUGGCGGCGUGCCUAAUACAUGCAAGUUGAGCGCUGAAGGUUGGUACUUGUACCCACUGGAUGAGCAGCGAACGGGUGAGUAACGCGUGGGGAAUCUGCCUUUGAGCGGGGGACAACAUUUGGAAACGAAUGCUAAUACCGCAUAAAAACUUUAAACACAAGUUUUAAGUUUGAAAGAUGCAAUUGCAUCACUCAAAGAUGAUCCCGCGUUGUAUUAGCUAGUUGGUGAGGUAAAGGCUCACCAAGGCGAUGAUACAUAGCCGACCUGAGAGGGUGAGCGGCCACAUUGGGACGGAGACACGGCCCAAACGCACACGGGAGGCAGCAGUAGGGAAUCUUCGGCAAUGGACGAAAGUCUGACCGAGCAACGCCGCGGGAGGGAAGAAGGUUGUCGGAUCGGAAAACUCGGUUGGUAGAGAAGAACGUUGGUGAGAGUGGAAAGCUCAUCAAGUGACGGUAACUACCCAGAAAGGGACGGCUAACUACGUG